CAGUAGCCACGGUAAUACGUAGGUGGCAAGCGUUGUCCGGAAUUAUUGGGCGUAAAGGGCUCGCAGGCGGUUUCUUAAGUCUGAUGUGAAAGCCCCCGGCUCAACCGGGGAGGGUCAUUGGAAACCGGGAAACUUGAGUGCAGAAGAGGAGAGUGGAAUUCCACGUGUAGCGGUGGAAUGCGUAGAGAUGUGGAGGAACACCAGUGGCGAAGGCGACUCUCUGGUCUGUAACUGACGUUGAGGAGCGAAAGCGUGGGGAGCGAACAGGAUUAGAUACCCCAGUAGUCCCUGUCUCUUAUAC
rnacentral:rRNA from 1 species